rnacentral:lncRNA from 1 species
ACCAAUGAGAUGCCAGACUCCCCUGUCCUUCCUCUGCGACUCUCAAUUCCCCUCUCCCAUCCUCCUGCCCGUCGGCACAGUUCAGAGAGAGCAGUUCCUUGGGUCCUUCUCAGCCUGUGGCAGAAGAGAAUUGCGGAGUUCUUAAUCAUUCAGAGGGAAUCCUCCAGCUUGCCCUGCGUCUCUCGGAAGAGGGGACCCAGACCCUCUGGCUCUGCCAGUUCUACUUCCUCCACCAUUACCAACGACGGGGACAGCAGAUGCCCAGGGGCUCAGCAGGCAGAAACAUAACCUUCUGGAGUGGGUGGAGUGGAAGAUGGAGUAUGGGAAUACAUUUUCCAAAAUUUAUUCCAUUAAUAGUUCCUGUUUGGAUUCCUCCAACAAGAAGCAAGCACAUGUGAUCUGGAAGAUGUAAAGAGCACAAGGGAAG